rfam:Populus trichocarpa scaffold_10_contig_259, whole genome shotgun sequence.
GCCUCUAAUGAUGAUGAUUAUUAUACUUUCGUUCUUCCGAGUUGUACCAUGCGGAAAUAUUUUUGGAGACCUGAACUGAAGAGGC